rnacentral:misc_RNA from 1 species
GUCUUGCAGUAAGUUACAACCCUGGACAGUGUGUAGAAAAGCAUUAAUUGCACCAGAACUUAUUAAUUGCACCAGAACUUGUUACCCAAGCACUGACCUCACGUAGAACACCUCGCAUAUCUUAUGCGUCAUACGUCUAAAAUUGACACUUUGAUUAUUAUUGCAUUUUAUUCGUCGACCUCUUAGACAGGUGUUUGCAGCAUGCACAUUUUAUCUUCUCAUCUGCAGUAAGGUAAAGUUUUUGUUAACCUUGAGUUUUUGCCAAGAUUGCAGAGGAUGUGAAACCGCCAC